rnacentral:rRNA from 1 species
AAUGAACGCUGGCGGCAGGCCUAACACAUGCAAGUCGAACGGAUCCUUCGGGAUUAGUGGCGGACGGGUGAGUAACGCGUGGGAACAUACCCAAAGGUACGGAAUAGCCUCGGGAAACUGGGAGUAAUACCGUAUGUGCUCGAAAGAGGAAUGAUUUAUCGCCUUUGGAUUGGCCCGCGUUGGAUUAGGUAGUUGGUGGGUUAAUGGCCUACCAAGCCGACGAUCCAUAGCUGGUUUGAGAGGAUGAUCAGCCACACUGGGACUGAGACACGGCCCAGACUCCUACGGGAGGCAGCAGUGGGGAAUCUUAGACAAUGGGGGAAACCCUGAUCUAGCCAUGCCGCGUGAUCGAUGAAGGCCUUAGGGUUGUAAAGAUCUUUCAGGUGGGAAGAUAAUGACUGUACCACCAGAAGAAGCCCCGGCUAACUCCGUGCCAGCCGCCGCAGUAA